UCCGCGGUAGCUCAGCUGGUAGAGCGGUCGGCUGUUAACCGACUGGUCGCAGGUUCGAGUCCUGCCCGCGGAG
rnacentral:tRNA from 1 species